CGCCUUGCCAGCCCGCUACAGAAACUCAAAGGAAUUGACGGGGGCCCGCACAAGCGGUGGAGCAUGUGGUUUAAUUCGAUGAUACGCGAGGAACCUUACCUGGGCUCAAAUGUAUGUUGACGUAUUCUGAAAGGGAUACUUCUUCGGACAAUAUACAAGGUGCUGCAUGGUUGUCGUCAGCUCGUGCCGUGAGGUGUCGGGUUAAGUCCCAUAACGAGCGCAACCCCUACCUUUAGUUGCCAUCAGGUUAAGCUGGGGACUCUAAAGGAACUGCCUACGCAAGUAGUGAGGAAGGCGGGGAUGACGUCAAAUCAGCACGGCCCUUACGUCCAGGGCUACACACGUGCUACAAUGGCCGAUACAGAGGGCAGCUACCUGGUGACAGGAUGCAAAUCUCCAAAGUCGGUCUCAGUUCGGAUCGGAGUCUGCAACCCGACUCCGUGAAGUUGGAUUCGCUAGUAAUCGCGCAUCAGCCAUGGCGCGGUGAAUACGUUCCCGGGCCUU
rnacentral:rRNA from 1 species